CUACGGGCUGCUCCAGUGAGGAAUUUUGCGCAAUGGGGGGAACCCUGACGCAGCAACGCCGCGUGAGUGAAGAAGGCCUUUGGGUCGUAAAGCUCUGUCAACAGGGAAGAAGUUACUUCAUAUUAAUAGUGUGUAGUAUUGACGGUACCUGUGGAGGAAGCAUCGGCUAACUCCGUGCCAGCAGCCGCGGUAAUACGGGGGAUGCAAGCGUUAUUCGGAAUCAUUGGGCGUAAAGGGCACGCAGGCGGCUCUGUCAGUCAGAUGUGAAAGCCCGGGGCUCAACCCCGGACGUGCAUUUGAAACAGCAGAGCUUGAGUACGGUAGAGGAAAGCGGAAUUCCUGGUGUAGAGGUGAAAUUCGUAGAUAUCAGGAGGAACACCGGUGGCGAAGGCGGCUUUCUGGACCGAAACUGACGCUGAGGUGCGAAGGCGUGGGUAGCGAACAGGAUUAGAUACCCGGGUAGUC
rnacentral:rRNA from 1 species